rnacentral:rRNA from 1 species
UACGUAGGGGGCAAGCGUUGUCCGGAUUUAUUGGGCGUAAAGAGCGUGUAGGCGGCCUGGAAGGUCAGCUGUGAAAACUCGAGGCUCAACCUCGAGACGUCGGUUGAAACCACCUGGCUAGAGUCCGGAAGAGGAGAGUGGAAUUCCCGGUGUAGCGGUGAAAUGCGCAGAUAUCGGGAAGAACACCGGUGGCGAAGGCGGCCUGCUGGGCAGUUGCUGACACUGAGGCGCGACAGCGUGGGGAGCAAACAGG